UCCAUUUAUAAGUAGGGUGCCAAGUAAAUAAGGCGAAAGUGAAGUGUGUUGCAAGACAUGCCGGUAGUGAUCAAGUCACUGAACCUAUACUAAGUGUCCURAAUAAGGAAAAUUACAGGAAAAACGAACAAAAGUGCACGACGUAGAAGUAGGAAAGGAUAUGGACUUAUUUUUUGAUGGCGAGAUGGACAUACCUGAUAACACGAAGGGUUUUUUAGUCCCCGAGCUUUUUUGACAACGGUACAUCUUGAAAGAUUUGUAGAAAAAGCCGGUUAAGAAAAAGACGCAAUACGAUUUGAAAAGUAAAUAACACGCGAGAAUUUGAUUCAAAAUUGAUUUUAUAACGUACAUAAUAUGAUAAAAAUAUAACGGAAGGGGAAAAAGUCGUUAGAAAGCUAAGAGCGAGCUACCAAAAACAAAACUAGCACGGCGAGUGAAUGUGAAAAAAAUGCCCCGUGGGGGUAGGAGUGGUAAUAUAGCGCCCUAGGCACGGUGGGUAGGCUGUGUACAUGUAGGCUGGGUACGAAGAAAAAUAACAAAAUGGCGGCUAUGAGGACUAGUGGAACAAAGAUUACAUAUUUUUAUUGGGUAGAAAAACUGAGCGAGUAACAGAUAUAUAGGGUGAGCUAGCGAAUAAUUUUUGGAAAGUGAAUGUCCCGCAAGUGUUCCUUAAAAUCUUGAGAGUGGUAAACCACAGUCCGAUGAAAAGUAAUUCCAGAGUAUAGGUUCAUAGUAGGUGAGUAAUCCUGGUAUAGUAGUUGCGAGUAUAAAUCAUCCUUAAUUGAUAGGACGGUGACCAAACCCAGGCAACCCCAUCCAGGGAGGCGAAGGGGACAGACCCAGAUCCGCAACCCACCCUUCUUUUAUUUCCUUCUUGCAGUACUUAUGGUAUUCCUUUGUUAUGCUUAUGAAGUUUAAAUCACAGAGAUAGCCAGUAUCCCAGUAGAGAACUUUGUGGUGAUAAUUUCAUGGUGGAUGCAUGAUCCACAGAAGAGCCAUCAUUAAUUUUAAAGUUAAAGUGUCAGAGUAGCAUUUGAAGUUUUUCUUUGAAUAUUAAUGUAGGCUUAAAGUAGAAGUGAUUGGACUCCUCAGUUGUAGGGGUAGUGUCAUUAAAGUUCCUUGAUUGUCCCUGGGUGGACGCAAAAUCUAGACCCACCCCACAACACCACCCCAGAAAGGGAGACCCAGGGAUGGUCACCGACCGAGUCACUSAAUUUCAUGUAAUKGAUAGACCUUGUCUUCUUCUUCUUGGAAUAUUAAAAUUGUAAAGUAUCAUGUUUGAGCACUCUUGAACCAAGUGGUAUACCGGGGAUAAGAGCCCCCCAGGGAAGAUAAGUGGUUGUAAACCAUUACUUGGAGUGUUGGAGAGAAAUCUGCGUUCAAGUUUUUCUAAAAAUAUGUUGGCAAAUGAAGGAGCCAUCUUGGUCCCCAUAGCUGUGCCAAAGGAUGGGAUGGAGGGCACAAGCUGUUUAAGGAAGUGAUCCACAAAGGUAGAAAGUUUCUCUGUGGGGGAAUCGCAACCAGAAAUGAUAGGUCUACCAGGUAUGUCAGGUUUGUGUAU